UUUCUAAGUUCAAAUAUGCUGUCCCACCCAAUGGAUGCGUACCACUCUUUGUUAGCUGUUUGUAAAUCCUAUCGAUAUUACUAGAAAUGUGGUUGAAAGCAUCCAUGAACAACUCAUAUCUGCAUAAUCAUUAAGAAAAGGGUCAAGCAACUAAGUUUCAAAAUGUUUGGAAAAGGAACCCUUUUCCCUUAUAGAUGCGUAUAAAUAUUAUUGCAGGCAAAACAGCUUUCCAAAACCAUCACGAGAUCCAACUGUCAGUGAUAAGCCAUUGCCUCAGUUGCAAUCAAGAAAUCACUAUAACAGUGCCAUCACAUGCAUUCUUAGACCACAUAGACAUCAAGUCUCACCAGGUUUAAUCAUUUCAAAUACCAUUUAUUCUUUAUUUAAUUUAUUUCUCUAUGUUACCAAGAUCAGAGUUGUUGCAACACAAUAAUGGUACCUCUUCUGCUUAACUGAAUUGUAUUCAUCAGCUACUUGCUUCUCCUCUUUUCUGGCUAAUUCAAACUCUUCAGUUACAUCUCUUUCCUUCUCUUGAAGAGUCUUAUAUUGGUCAAGAGCCUUCAAAUUGGGAGCAGUUCUUUCA
rnacentral:lncRNA from 1 species